GUCGUAGCUCAGGGACAGAGCGCCUGCUUUUCACGCAAAAGGUCCCUGGUUCGAUCCGCGGAGCCUGCCUGCAACC